ACGGGGCGCAGCAGGCGCGAAAACUUCACACUGCAGGAAACUGUGAUGAGGGAACUCCUAGUGCAUGCACUAUGUGUAUGUAGAUCCUACUUUUAAUCAGUAGAGGGAAAGGGCUGGGAAAGACCGGUGCCAGCAGCCGCGGUAAU
rnacentral:rRNA from 1 species